AUUGAACGCUGGCGGCAGGCCUAACACAUGCAAGUCGAGCGAGCGGCGGACGGGUGAGUAAUGUAUGGGGAUAUGCCCGAGAGAGGGGGAAAACUACUGGAAACGGUGGCUAAUACCGCAUACUAUCGGAUGAACCCAUUUGGGAUUAGCUAGUGGGUGGGGUAAAGGCUCACAUAGGCGACGAUCUCUAGCUGGUCUGAGAGGAUGAUCAGCCACACUGGGACUGAGACACGGCCCAGACUCCUACGGGAGGCAGCAGUGGGGAAUAUUGCACAAUGGGCGCAAGCCUGAUGCAGCCAUGCCGCGUGAGUGAAGAAGGUUUUCGGGUUGUAAAGCUCUUUUGUUAGAGAAGCGUUAUCCAACCAGAAAGCCCCGGCUAACUACGUGCCAGCAGCCGCGGUAAUAC
rnacentral:rRNA from 1 species